rnacentral:rRNA from 1 species
GAUGAACGCUGGCGGCGUGCCUAAUACAUGCAAGUCGAGCGAACAGACGAGGAGCUUGCUCCUCUGACGUUAGCGGCGGACGGGUGAGUAACACGUGGAUAACCUACCUAUAAGACUGGGAUAACUUCGGGAAACCGGAGCUAAUACCGGAUAAUAUAUUGAACCGCAUGGUUCAAUAGUGAAAUACGGUUUUUCUGUCACUUAUAGAUGUAUCCGCGCCGCAUUAGCUAGUUGGUAAGGUAACGGCUUACCAAGGCAACGAUGCGUAGCCGACCUGAGAGGGUGAUCGGCCACACUGGAACUGAGACACGGUCCAGACUCCUACGGGAGGCAGCAGUAGGGAAUCUGCCGCAAUGGGCGAAAGCAUGACGGAGCAACGCCGAGUGAGUGAUGAAGGUCUUCGGAUCGUAAAACUCUGUUAUUAGGGAAGAACAAAUGUGUAAGUAACUAUGCACGUCUUGACGGUACCUAAUCAGAAAGCAACGGCUAACUACGUG